CACCCCUCCCUCCCUGAGAGCAGGGACUCACUUGCUCACUUGGACUCCAGGCCACUGAUGUCUGUGGCAUCAU